GACGAACGCUGGCGGCAUGCUUAACACAUGCAAGUCGAACGGAGCACCCCUGACCGAGGUUUCGGCCGAAGGGAAGGGAAUGCUUAGUGGCGGACGGGUGAGUAACGCGUGAGCAACCUGCCUUGAAGUGGGGGACAACAGUUGGAAACGACUGCUAAUACCGCAUAAAAUAUCUGCAUCGCAUGGUGCGGAUAUCAAAGAUUUAUCGCUUCGAGAUGGGCUCGCGUCUGAUUAGGUAGUUGGCGGGGUAACGGCCCACCAAGCCGACGAUCAGUAGCCGGACUGAGAGGUUGAACGGCCACAUUGGGACUGAGAUACGGCCCAG
rnacentral:rRNA from 1 species